rnacentral:misc_RNA from 1 species
GCUCGGUCCAACAACCACCUCGCGUGAGGGACAUAUCGUCAACUUCAAAGAUAAAAGCCCUACAAUACCUAUUACCACGUGUAGUUGGGAUUUAAAAAGCCCGCCAUACGCGUGUACACACACAUUGACUCGAUCUAAUAUAAAUCUGAUCGCCGUUCCUUGCUAACUUCUCCAGAACUAUGGAUGGAUACUGCUAACUCUUGAUUACUUUAUAAACUCUUUCCUAAAGAGAAGGCUAACAAAGCAAACUAAAAACGCUUUAACCUCUUCGUAAACUCGCUCGGGCAUAUUAACACAGAAUCUACACAAAGUCCACCUUUGGUAUGGGUGCAAUCGAUUUGGGUCAUGGAGAACUUAACUUUCGUAUUUGCUGCAGACCCUGUAACUGUAAAGUCUCCUACAUGGUGGUAUUUCCAUUUUCCAGGCUCUUUCAUGUAACACUGGGUUGUAGCUUGCUGACCAUCGGAAGUUGAGAGCUGGAACUGCACUGGCUUUUUAUCCCAUCCGUGAACAUGUUCGGAGUUGCAAAUUCGCCGUCCAAAUCUCCGAGAGGAACGUCCAACUUGCAGUCUGUAGAAAAUGCUAUAGGACCCAGCUGGGAAUGGGAAAUCAACCUCUCCACCCACUUCAACCCACCAUAUCUGUUGGAGAUACGCAAUGGACUGGAAUCUCGAUUCGUCAGUUUCGAUGCGACUCCAAUAUCUCCUGUCAUCAAUGCCUGUUAUCGCUAAUCCAUUUGCAGAUAUUGAUAAACAAACCCUUCCUGUACCCUUAUCUAACCAAACCUUCUUUAACCCAUCAUCAAAAUAACUAGGUCGACAAAGCCUAGCAUAAAUAUCCCUUUUGCACAAAUUAUUAGAAAAAUCAUCAACCCCACCAAAAACCCUAUCAAUAAGCAAUUCAUAAUUAAUCGGCAAUUUCGAUUCCCAUACAAAAUCAGCAGAAGAAGCAGCCCUAAAACCACGACUAAGCACCGAAAGACUACAGAUCUCCGAUGGAUUUAAAUAAACCAUAACUGAAGCGACACAACUCUCCGGCAAGUCACCCAAACCAGGAUUCGCCGGCGGUACAUCAACGGAACCACGUGGAUUCAAGAAAAAGGAUAAAGAAG